rnacentral:misc_RNA from 1 species
GUGAAUCAUCAAAUCUUUGAACGCAAAUUGCACUUUCUGGUAUUCCGGAAAGUAUGCCUGUUUGAGGGUCAGUUAAAUAAAAAUCGGUGUAGUUGCUGCUUUUCGUGGUGACAAGUCGGAAUUGAGUUGAUUUACCUACGGUUAAGUGUCUUAAAAUUUUGCAUGAUAUCCGAUCGUAUUGAAUUUUCUUACGUACGUAUGAGU